rnacentral:lncRNA from 1 species
UUUUUUUUUUUUUUUUUUUUUUUUUUUUUUUUUUUUUUUUUUUUUUUUUUUUUUUUUUUUUUUUUUUUUUUUUUUUUUUUUUUUUUUUUUUUUUUUUUUUUUUUUUUUUUUUUUUUUUUUUUUUUUUUUUUUUUUUUUUUUUUUUUGAAAGGGAUUUUUUUGAGAAAACUGAAAUGUCGAAACGGGGAGGCAAUUAAACUGGGAACACAGUCACGACGUCGUAUUAAACUUAAAUUUU